CCUGCGGAACUGCUGGCUCCCUACACCGGCGACAUCGCUGCGGAAGGGAUCAGUAAAGCAUUACGCGGUGGGGCGAAAUUUCUGUGCCACGGGGUUCAACGCCAGCAACGCUAUAUCGCUGAAGCGAUCACGGAAGAGUGGCGCAUGGCGCCCGGGCCGCUCGAAGUUGCCUGGUUUGCGGAAGAAACUGCCGCCGUGGAGCGUGCAGUCGACGCGCUGGCUAAACGGCUGGAAAAACUGGAGGCCAAAUGA
rnacentral:sRNA from 1 species